rnacentral:rRNA from 1 species
AACGGCCGUACCAUGCUGAAUAUACCGGUUCUCGUUGGAUCAUCGAAGUUAAGCAUCAUUGGGCGCGGUCAGUACUUGGGUGGGUGACCACCUGGGAACACUGCGUGCCGUU